GCAAGUGUUGAGUGUAGCGGGGUGCGUUAAAGCAUUGCUGCAAACAUGUCAACGUUUAAGAGCUGUUGUGCAAUUGAUGGCAUAAACAGAUUCAGAAACAGUAUUUAGAUGUUCCUACAUAUAACCUCACAGGGCAGACAGAGUGGUUUUGGUGUCUCUUGCUGUUUGUCUUGUUCAAGUUAGUUGUUUGCCGUAGCGGGUCUGUUUUCACCACUCAGUAGUGUGGGAAUCAUGUAAAUAAAUCCUAACCCUCUACGGUAAGUGAGCUUAAAUAUAACAUUUGUUCCGAUCCCCAGCUUUACUAAUCUAAAGUAGACUAUGCUGAGUUUAAAUCCUCUGAAAGAAAAGUUAUUUAGAAAUCCUGCACUUUAGUUUUUUGAGUAUUUUAAAGACCUUUUUGAUGCCUUAAAUUUAAGGGGGAUACCCAGCCCUAAUGGCGAAGAUGGUGAAGUUGGUUACACUGUACAUAGCAUUACCAUGGCAACGGACGCACUGACACUGACUGUGUCACCAUGGCAAAUGAUUUUGCGUCUUUAAGGUAACUAAUUUCCCAGCAGGAGUGCUUUGAUUGUCCGUGAACAAUUUAUGGUGCUAUGCUCCCAUUGCUGCGGCCUGCAGGCCCCUCUGUUGUAGAAAUCCCAUCGCGUUUUACAGAAAAUACUUCAGUUACUUAGUUUAGUGUUCAACUAAAGUCUUCUGUAGUACAUGUCCUUCAAAACCUCAGAGAGGUACGAAGGAGUGAGUGAGAUUGUUUGAAGUGUAGCACAGUCAGGUGUCAGAAAGAAGAGGUUUCUCCAUGGUUUAGUGUGUGAAUGUGGUGAGUGAGUGUGUGUACGUUGUAUAGAAAGGUUCUUCCGGACAUGAAACAGUUUUUUUGGGACCAGGUGGAGUCGUAGUGAACAGCAACCGUAGGAAUCAGCUGUUUGCACACAGAGUUCUCGAGUCUACUUUCGCUGCUAGUUUGUGUAAUUUAUCAAGCAUUUUUGAGAAAUAUUUAUUUUUAUAAGCCUAAUACAAAAGUUGAUAUUUUACAAAGUGACUUGACCAAAAGACAGUAAACAAAAACACUGGCACUUGAAUGUUGAAUGUCAUUGGUAUGAGUGAAAAUUUCUAUUUUUCUGGGGUAGUGUGAGCUUUUUAAUGUUAAAGAUGCAACGUGUAGGGAUUUCUCUUUAAAUAUGUCACCGUAACAACUUGUGAUUAUGUGCAAAAUGUCACUAAUGCCAAAACUGAUUCAAAUCAUCCCAGAAAUCCCAGUACACCAGUUCUCUGUCUAGGGACGAUACAAAGCACCCCACGGUGCUUGCACAUCUUGUCUUGUUUAACCAGACUAUUUUAGCUGAACAAGUCCCCGCCUCAGAACGGUGCAGUUGUGCACUUUACAUUUUCUGAAGUUUAACCUGGCUUUUGUCUAAGCAAAAUUGGACCUUGAACACCUCUCUGAAAGACAGGAGUUAUCUUAAGAGGUGGCAGUCCCUUGUUCUUACCGUUCUUGUUAUAUAGAAGAAAUAUUUAGUUUAAAACCCUAAUUUGCACUCGCCACUUGCCAUAACAGGGCUCUUUCCUUCUUGGUCAAAUGCAUAAAUGCAUAAAGAUGUGCACGUGGAGUCACACGCGGCCACAGAGUGACGCACUGACAGUUUUAUUACAGUUAAUGCGACUGUGACAUAUUCAAAGAAACAUCCUACAUAGGUUUCCUUUUAAAGUCACAUUGGACUCAGUAUCAGAUCCAUAAACCCGUUUGUGCGACAGGUUCCAUUGCCAAUACUGAAAAUCAACCAUAAGCAGCCAUUUGAAUUGGCAAACAAAAUUUGAGACAAUACCACCAUUAUAUGCCAAGGUUUGGAUUAAAAUAAAAAAAUUAAACGUUACAAUCAAAAGACCAUUUUGUAAAAAAAAAAGAAAUUUAAAAAAACAAUAAAAAAACAUGCAGUACAAAAAACAAGUGUCCAGAUUCUCUCCAAGUCGGAUGUUAUUUUGUUUGGAUUUUUUUUUUUUUUUUUCAUUUGAGUCUUUACACUUUUCCUUCCCGUUAAUACCCUUGUUGUGAAUGUCUGGCAAGUGGUGAUCUUUAAAGUCUUCAUAACACAGAAUUAACUGUGGUUCUAUUGCUAUGUUGUUGUGAUUUGCAUCUUUGCAGGUGCCUGUGUGUUGAGUGAUAAUGGUCAUACAUAUAGGGGAGCGUCUGGCCAAUCAGAAAUGGGGGGGGGGGGAUGCCCUGAUGACAAAUACAUCCAGGUGUUUUUUUUGUUUUGUUUUUGCUUAACUUGCUGCUGAGCCAAAUGAGUCUUCUGCCAUCGUUUAGCUGCGGACAUUCUGCAGUUAUACAGAAACAAAUUUGUCCAUCAACAGUAGCCUUAAUGGACCAGAAUGCAAUGCGGCCCCAGCAAAGCCACUCUCAGUGACAUUUCAAAGAUAUGGUAGUACUAGUACAAGUAGGUGAACGAUCACGUCUUGGGUGCCAUGAUCUUAAUUCAUGGAAACAAAAUGGGGACACCAAAUAAAAUGCAACACUGCAGCUUUAUUUUACUUUAUAUUUUAUAAACUUAAAGGGUUGUUACAAAAAAAAGUGUUGUCAGAUUUAGAAUUGAUUGCUGUUUAGUGACUUGAAUUGAAGUAUGAUAAAGCCCAGUGUUGUAGCCAUUGCUUACUGGCCAGACCCCUCAAUGUGAACACACUGCACCUCCAGCCUGGUAGUUAGUAUUUGCUUUAUGUAUUAGUUUAGCAGUUGUGCACGAAGAGGAGCACUGCACGAAGA